UACAGAGGGGGCAAGCGUUAUUCGGAAUUAUUGGGCGUAAAGGGCGCGUAGGCGGUGCGGUAAGUCUGCGGUGAAAUCUCCCGGCUCAACUGGGAGGCUGCCGUGGAAACUGCCGUGCUUGAGUGUGGGAGAGGUGAGUGGAAUUCCUGGUGUAGCGGUGAAAUGCGCAGAUAUCAGGAGGAACACCGAUGGCGAAGGCAGGUCUCUGGGCAUUAACUGACGCUGAGGAGCGAAAGCAUGGGGAGCGAACAGG
rnacentral:rRNA from 1 species